UACGAAGGGGGCUAGCGUUGCUCGGAAUUACUGGGCGUAAAGGGCGCGUAGGCGGAUGUUUAAGUCGGGGGUGAAAGCCCAGGGCUCAACCCUGGAAUUGCCUUCGAUACUGGACAUCUUGAGUACGGGAGAGGUGAGUGGAACUCCGAGUGUAGAGGUGAAAUUCGUAGAUAUUCGGAAGAACACCAGUGGCGAAGGCGACUCACUGGCCCGUUACUGACGCUGAUGCGCGAAAGCGUGGGGAGCAAACAGGG
rnacentral:rRNA from 1 species